UGGGCUUUAUCUAACAGCAGAGUCACCAUACGUCAUUUAUUUAAAUUAAAUGACCUAAAAUGUCUGUGGCUUGGUUUUGUUUUUCAAUCAAUGUGCUUUAUCUUCAGUUUUGUUCUGAAUAUGAACAAAGCAUUUACGGGUUUGGAACGACAUGGGGGUUGAGUUUGCUUCUGUGGUGAGAACUGACAGAGGCCCUCUUUGUUCUUCUUCUGUGAAACUGGGGCUUGUCAUUUCAUGCUUCACAUGCUGAUAGGAGAGGGAGGAAGUCACCAGGGAGCUGUUUCAGAGCUAAAGGAUGCUGGGACUGUGGUAUUCAGCCCACACUUGACUCACUGACCUGCAUUACUGACCGCGUUCGGGUCAGGAAGUCCAAAUCAAAGACACCAAAUAGCAACAAUUCCUGGGGAGGGAGAAUGGGAUUGCAUGUGCUUGUGGGCAUGAGAGAGAUCAUUCUCAGCAUUCUCAGCACGGAAUCUACCGAUUCAUUCAACUUCUGUGUUAGUGCACGUUUCAGUAAAAUGUACUUAUGAAGUAGUAAAAACUGAAGGAAUAUUUUUCUUCCCAUUAUAUAACUGGAAUGUGAAUAAAAGCUGAACUGAUCUUACGCACUUAGGAGCUUAAUAAUAAUGACCAAUCAACAGUUUACAUUAAAAACAAAUGCUCUUAUGCUAAUGUCUCAAAAUAAUUUAAAGACUUUGUAGAACUGAAGUGUUUAGAUAUAAAAAGUCAGUUCCACCAUUGAUUUACACUGGGCUUACAUACAUUGAUAAAAGAACAGCAACAAUUUUGUUAAAGGCGUGGCUUAGUUUUUUGACUGAAUCCAGUAAUUAAUACAGAUUACAUACAAGAUGCAUAUUCAAGACACCACUAAUGAUUGUUUACUUCCUUUCCAGUUCAGUAAUUUCCCAUGACAAAUUUAAAAUCAACCUCUCUGAAAACCUAAUGAAAGGCAACACUUUUUGGCAGGCUGUUGAACGGUACUUCACGCUUUUUGAGCAUUGGACAUUUAAAAAGAGCUUUCAAUGCAGUGCGUUUUCCUCUAAGAUCACAAAUUGAGAUCCACAAAAACUGACAGGUCUCAGCAAUUAUGAUUCACCAAGAGGCUGAAGUUUCCAUUUCUUAUGCUGUAUUUUCAAAUGCUCUUUGACGUUUUGUGAAAAUGAUAAGGAUCUGAGGCAGGUGUUGUCAAUGAUUGCAGUUCACUUUGUUUAGCUGGGUCGUCUGAUUUGAAUUCAGACUGAGGUCUUUUAUCAUUCAGAAGACCGUGACUGAUUUGAAAUCCAAUGCAUAUUGUAUGUGGAAGAUGAAGAUUGUAAAAUGCACCUCCAUAUGUAUGUAAUAUAAAAAAUGUAUUACAUUUCAUGGAUGUUAAGAAAUAUUUAUUGGUGGUGCAUUUAGUCAGUAAAUAGGUAAUUCUGUAGAGGUAGGGAUAGACCACAAAGUGUUAUCCCCUCCAUCCCCCCCUAAUCACACACUGUACAUAUCUACAUAUAUCUGAUGGUCAGAAGGUUAAUAGGUCAUCUAUAAAAAUCCUCUGUAGGUCAAUGUUAUGUGACCCCAGAGCUAAAAAUGAGGUAGAAAAAAUGUACAGUUUAAGUCACCUAAUACAGUAGCCUACACUGUGACAAGAAUAUACAAUACAAAAUACUCACUCUGGCAACCAUUGUUACAGUUUGUCAUACACAUGACAGCUAUGUUGCUUCACAACCAUAAACAACGACUGACAACAUAAUAUAUAUUCAUUUUAACAGCCAGCAGUACACAAUUAUUUCAGGUAUCUGUAAAACAGCAUACUACAGAGCAUCUGUGUGGGUGGCUGAAAGAAAUUAUUCCACAGGGAGAAUUUAUAGAUUGACCUCUUGAACCGAAACCAUGUGGCUUCUAACAUAUUGUCACACAGCUCUGUUUGGAAGCGCUCAGAAAGAGUCUAUGUUUACCUAGGUAUGCAGCCAGCAGAAUAAAAAUGAAUUGCUGUGAAAUUUUGGUUUACAAAUAGACUCUUUAACAUGCAUGAAAUGAAUAUUUUUUUCUAGCAAUGUUCAGUAUACCAGUCUGCCAGAUGGAGGAGAAAGGAAUAGUAUGUGAACAUGCUAAAUGUAAUCGGCUGAAAAAAUGAGGGGAAACACCUGUAAGCACUUCCUAGUAAUAAAUGAAUAGAAUGUGUUCCACAAUAACUGUAAAGCCAUUAAUGUAUGUUUUAACAGUAAUUCAUGUGCUGGAUAUAAAACAGGACCAUAACUGAUAUUGUGAGACAUGUAAUGUAUUAUGCAAAUUAAUGCAAUGGCUGGUGUAGUAUAAAUAGGAACGGUAUGUGCUUCUGUGACACUUACAGAUAAGGAACAUUAUUUGAGAGUGAUAACACAAAACAGAUGGCAAACUGAACUCCCUCAUGCUGUUAGUGCAUGUGUGUGUGUGUGUGUUUGAAACUUCAAUGAUAAAGGUGGUAGCUGUGAGAUAAAUCCAAAGUCACCUUUUAGGCAUUUCCCAGGAGUAUCUCUAUUUCUUUCGUUAAUUCUAUGUUUAUUGCUCAUUUCAUAGAAAAAAACCCCACUAUUCUCUUCUUUCUGUUUUGAUUUGUUCCUCCCCCCCUAUCACUUGUUUAUUAAACCAGCCGUGUGAUUAUAUUGUGUAUGUGCAUGUGUGUGAGGGAGCAAAACAAAGAGGGAAGGAGCAAAUAGUAAUAGACUGUUAAAAAAGAAAAGGAAAAAAAAAGCUUUUGUUUUGGCUUCAUGCAUAAUUUUAGGAACUUGGUAAGAUCCCAGGCUUUCAUAGUUUGUGCUUUGCAGAAGGAACA